UUGGGAAUAUUGCACAAUGGGCGCAAGCCUGAUGCAGCCAUGCCGCGUGUGUGAAGAUGGCCUUCGGGUUGUAAAGCACUUUCAGCGGGGAGGAAGGCGUUAAGGUUAAUAACCUUGGCGAUUGACGUUACCCGCAGAAGAAGCACCGGCUAACUCCGUGCCAGCAGCCGCGGUAAUACGGAGGGUGCAAGCGUUAAUCGGAAUUACUGGGCGUAAAGCGCACGCAGGCGGUCUGUCAAGUCGGAUGUGAAAUCCCCGGGCUCAACCUGGGAACUGCAUUCGAAACUGGCAGGCUAGAGUCUUGUAGAGGGGGGUAGAAUUCCAGGUGUAGCGGUGAAAUGCGUAGAGAUCUGGAGGAAUACCGGUGGCGAAGGCGGCCCCCUGGACAAAGACUGACGCUCAGGUGCGAAAGCGUGGGGAGCAAACAGG
rnacentral:rRNA from 1 species